rfam:Pseudomonas batumici strain TCM B-321 Contig_18, whole genome shotgun sequence.
CCAGGGCGUGGGCUUCAACCCGCGCCCCGGCUAUAACCAGAGCAACGGCUCAUAAAGCUGUGGCUCUUAUUUUUGAAGAAAUGAGACCAGCAGGGGCAUCCGGGCCGGUACCCGGACUAUCAGCGUGAUCCCAAGUGGCUUGUUUUUGUCGCUGCAUUCGGACUUCUGCAAGCUUGCGCGGUGUUUUCGCCGAUGGUGUCCCCUAACCGAGGGUGACCA